AACGCUAGCUACAGGCUUAACACAUGCAAGUCGAGGGGCAGCAUAAAAGUAGCAAUACUUUGGUGGCGACCGGCGCACGGGUGAGUAACGCGUAUGCAACCUACCUAUCAGAGGGGGAUAACCCGGCGAAAGUCGGACUAAUACCGCAUAAAACAGGGGCACCGCAUGGUGCUAUUUGUUAAAAAUUUAUUGCUGAUAGAUGGGCAUGCGUUCCAUUAGGUAGUUGGAGAGGUAACGGCUCACCAAGCCUACGAUGGAUAGGGGAACUGAGAGGUUGGUCCCCCACACUGGUACUGAGACACGGACCAGACUCCUACGGGAGGCAGCAGUGAGGAAUAUUGGUCAAUGGGCGAGAGCCUGAACCAGCCAAGUCGCGUGAAGGAAGAAGGAUCUAUGGUUCGUAAACUUCUUUUGCAGGGGGAUAAAGUGCAGGACGUGUCCUGUUUUGUAUGUACCCUGAGAAUAAGGAUCGGCUAACUCCGUGCCAGCAGCCGCGGUAAUACGGAGGAUCCGAGCGUUAUCCGGAUUUAUUGGGUUUAAAGGGUGCGUAGGUGGUUUAAUAAGUCAGCGGUGAAAGUUUGCAGCUUAACUGUAAAAAUGCCGUUGAAACUGUUAGACUUGAGUGUAAAUGAGGUAGGCGGAAUGCGUGGUGUAGCGGUGAAAUGCUUAGAUAUCACGAAGAACUCCGAUUG
rnacentral:rRNA from 1 species